rnacentral:rRNA from 1 species
GACGAACGCUGGCGGCGUGCUUAACACAUGCAAGUCGAACGGUGAAGCGCCUUCCUUUUUGGUGGGUGUGGAUGAGUGGCGAACGGGUGAGUAACACGUGAGUAACCUGCCCCCUUCUUCUGGAUAACCGCAUGAAAGUGUGGCUAAUACGGGAUAUUCUGGUUCUGUCGCAUGAUGGGUCUGGGAAAGAUAUUGUUUCGGUGGGGGAUGGGCUCGCGGCCUAUCAGCUUGUUGGUGGGGUGAUGGCCUACCAAGGCGGUGACGGGUAGCCGGCCUGAGAGGGUGGACGGUCACACUGGGACUGAGACACGGCCCAGACUCCUACGGGAGGCAGCAGUGGGGAAGAUUGAACAAUGGGCGAAAGCCUGAUGCAGCGACGCCGCGUGAGGGAUGGAGGCCUUCGGGUUGUGAACCUCUUUCGCCAGUGAAGCAGGCCUGCCUCGUUUGUGGGUGGGUUGACGGUAGCUGGAUAAGAAGCGCCGGCUAACUACGUG